AAUCAACGCUGGCGGCGUGCCUCAGACAUGCAAGUCGAACGCGAAAGUCCCCUUCGGGGGACAAGUAGAGUGGCGCACGGGUGAGUAACACGUAGGUAAUCUACCUUCGGAUGGGGAAUAACAACCGGAAACGGUUGCUAAUACCGCAUAAUGCAGCGGCGCCUAAUGGUGACAGUUGUUAAAGCGGGGGAUCGAAAGACCUCGCGUCUGAAGAGGAGCCUGCGGCGGAUUAGCUAGNGGUAAGGUAAUGGCUUACCAAGGCUACGAUCCGUAACCGGCCUGAGAGGGCGGUCGGUCACACUGACACUGACAUACGGGUCAGACUCCUACGGGAGGCAGCAGUCGGGAAUUUUGGGCAAUGGGCGAAAGCCUGACCCAGCAACGCCGCGU
rnacentral:rRNA from 1 species